CCUACGGGAGACAGCAGUGGGGAAUAUUGGGCAAUGGGCGCAAGCCUGACCCAGCAACGCCGCGUGAAGGAAGAAGGCUUUCGGGUUGUAAACUUCUUUUCUGAGGGACGAAGAAAGUGACGGUACCACAGGAAUAAGCAACGGCUAACUACGGGCCAGCAGCCGCGGUAAGACGUAGGUGGCAAGCGUUAUCCGGAUUUAUGCGGUGUAAAGGGCGGGGAGGCGGGAAAGCCAGUCAGAUGGGAAAACUCAGGGCUCAACCCUGAGCCUGCCUUUGAAACUGUUUUUCUUGAGUGCUGGGGAGGCAAUCGGAAUUCCGUGUGUAGCGGUGAAAUGCGUAGAUAUCCGGAGGAACACCAGUGGCGAAGGCGGCUUGCUGGACCGUACCUGACGCUGAGGCGCGAAAGCGUGGGGAGCAAACAGGAUUAGAUACCCCAGUAGUC
rnacentral:rRNA from 1 species